rnacentral:rRNA from 1 species
ACGGAAGGCAGCAGUGGGGAAUAUUGCGCAAUGGGCGAAAGCCUGAUGCAGCGACGCCGCGUGAGCGAAGAAGUAUUUCGGUAUGUAAAGCUCUAUCAGCAGGGAAGAUAAUGACGGUACCUGACUAAGAAGCACCGGCUAAAUACGUGCCAGCAGCCGCGGUAAUACGUAUGGUGCAAGCGUUAUCCGGAUUUACUGGGUGUAAAGGGAGCGUAGGCGGUUUUACAAGUCUGAUGUGAAAGCCCGGGGCUCAACUCCGGUAUUGCAUUGGAAACUGUAGAACUAGAGUGUCGGAGGGGUAAGUGGAAUUCCUAGUGUAGCGGUGAAAUGCGUAGAUAUUAGGAGGAACACCAGUGGCGAAGGCGGCUUACUGGACGAUUACUGACGCUGAGGCUCGAAAGCGUGGGGAGUAAACAGGAUUAGAUACCCUGGUA